AUCCAGAUGACGAGUCGCAAGUAAGACGAAAAAUACGUCGAACUGGAU
rnacentral:hammerhead_ribozyme from 1 species